GGAGAAGAAUCGCCUCCGGUGGGGCGGCCGGACUUCAAAUCCGGUGGGGGCCGCUUGACGGUCUCUGGUGGGUUCGACUCCCAUUCUUCUCCGCCA
rnacentral:tRNA from 1 species